CGGGUAACGGGGAAUUAGGGUUCGAUUCCGGAGAGGGAGCCUGAGAAACGGCUACCACUUCCAAGGAAGGCAGCAGGCGCGCAAAUUACCCAAUCCCGACACGGGGAGGUAGUGACAAUAAAUAACAAUACGGGGCUCUUUCGGGUCUCGUAAUUGGAAUGAGUACAAUUUAAAUCCCUUAACGAGGAACAAUUGGAGGGCAAGUCUGGUGCCAGCAGCCGCGGUAAUUCCAGCUCCAAUAGCGUAUAUUAAAGUUGUUGCAGUUAAAAAGCUCGUAGUUGAAUUUCGGGAUUGACGUGAUGGUCAUGCCUUAAGGGGUAUGAACUGUUGCUGUUGAUUUCUCACCUUCUGGAGAAACUUGAUGUCCUUUAUUGGGUGUCUUGCGGAUCCAGGACCUUUACCUUGAAAAAAUUAGAGUGUUUAAAGCAGGCAUUUUUGCUCGAAUACAUUAGCAUGGAAUAAUAGAAUAGGACGGCAUGGUUCUAUUUUGUUGGUUUCUAGGAUCACCGUAAUGAUUAAUAGGGAUAGUUGGGGGCAUUAGUAUUCAAUUGUCAGAGGUGAAAUUCUUGGAUUUAUUGAAGACUAACUACUGCGAAAGCAUUUGCCAAGGAUGUUUUCAUUAAUCAAGAACGAAAGUUAGGGGAUCGAAGACGAUCAGAUACCGUCGUAGUCUUAACCAUAAACUAUGCCGACUAGGAAUCAGACGAUGUUAAUUUUUUAAUGACUCGUUUGGCACCUUACGG
rnacentral:rRNA from 1 species